rnacentral:misc_RNA from 1 species
GAUGAAGAACGCAGCGAAAUGCGAUAAGUAAUGUGAAUUGCAGAAUCCAGUGAAUCAUCGAAUCUUUGAACGCACAUUGCGCCCGCCAGUAUCCUGGCGGGCAUGCCUGUCCGAGCGUCAUUUCAACCAUCAAGCCCCAGGCUUGUGUUGGGGACCUGCGUCCGACGCAGGCCCUGAAAACCAGUGGCGGGCUCGCUGUCCACACCGAGCGUAGUAACUAACCUCGCUACGGGAGCGGCGCGGGCGCCUGCCGUAAAACCCCCAAUUUUCACAAGGUUGACCUCGGAUCAGGUAGGAAUACCCGCUGAACUUAAGCAUAUCAAUAAGCGGAGGA